GUGACUAGUGACAGAGUGAGGGAAUGGGUGACUAGUGGCAGAGUGAGGGAGGGAAGGGGUGACUAGUGACAGAGUGAGGAGAGGGGGUGACUGUCACUAGUCACCCCAUCCCUCUCUCUGUCACUAGUUACUCCCUCCCUAACUCUGUCACUGUGUCACCCGCUCCCUCACUCUGUCACUAGUCACCCCCUUACUCUGUCACUGUGUUACCCCCUCCCUCUGUCACUAGUCACCCCCUCCCUCACUCUGUCACUAAUCACCCCCUCUCUCCCUAGUCACCCCCUUCCUCACUCUGUCACUAGUCAC